rnacentral:rRNA from 1 species
AUGGAUCCAGAUGUACCAGAUGGUAUUCAAGAUGCGCAAGACGAAUAUAUACAACAGGUGGAUGCAAAUGGUCUUCAUGAUGACCAAGGCGCACAAGAACGAGGCCAAGUUGAACAACCAGAAGGGGACGAACCAUUUCAACAUAUUCCAAGAGGUCUUCGCAAUGACUCAGGUGCCCGAGUGUUCCCUAGGAAGUUGUGCAAGCCUACAUACAUUACCAGACUGUCUUUCAAGCGUUGGAACAAAACUGUUAAGAAGUUUAGUGACAUUCAGCUAGGUCAUGUGACAAAGUACAAAAUGGAAGCUCUGCUUCAUAUGCCAAACAAACUUAAAAUUCCAAUGAAUCUGCUUGAAUGGAUAGAUCAGCAUAUGUUUGGAAGUAAAGAGCCAUGUUUCAAGCAUAAGAAUAAAGUUAUCAAGAUUACUAAUGAUAUGGUCAACAAAAUUUUCGAUUUCCCUGGUGGCACCGAGCCUUUUAUAUUCAGUAGUGAUGAUCCCCAAGUGAAGGCAGAGGUUUCAGAGUUAAGGAACAAGUAUGUUGAUCAUCGGAACAAAAUGCCAAUCAACAAAAUAGAGGAGGUGAUGCUUAGUGACGAGACAGAAGAUGGUUUUAUCAGGAGCUUCACAUUUUAUUUCCUAUCAUCUAUCUUGUGCCCUGCAUCAUACUGCUUUGGCAACAUGAAGUUCUUGUACUCUCUAAGAGAUGUUUCUGCUAUCCCUUCACUUGACUUUGGGAAAUUGGCACUGGAUUUCAUGCGUGAGGAAUUAGAGCGUCACUUUGAAAUGAUCAUGAACAGGCCAACUAUUGAGGAAAUGAACAAGUCUUCAUAUAUUAGGGGAUGUCUUCCUAUUUGGGGAAUCAUUUAUCUGGAUUUUGUUGAUUUUGAUUUUAUUGAGAAUCACCAGUCAACUGUGGAUUACUCUCUUCCUCGGAUAUCUCAUGUGAAGACUGAAGAUUUCAAGUAUCUUGCAAUGGUUGAUAGGAAUUAUGAGUCUAGGAAAAAUUACGGGGUUUUACCACUGCGCAACAUAUCACGCACCCCAUAUGCCAAUGAGGCGCCUAUUAAUAAUGCUCUUGAUGCUGCUGGUGUGUUUAAUUCAGUUCCUUAUGCGGAGGUCAACAAUGCCAAUAGUGUUGCGAAGUUCUAA